AUUGAACGCUGGCGGCAGGCCUAACACAUGCAAGUCGAACGGUAACAGGAAGCAGCUUGCUGCUUCGCUGACGAGUGGCGGACGGGUGAGUAAUGUCUGGGAAGCUACCUGAUGGAGGGGGAUAACUACUGGAAACGGUAGCUAAUACCGCAUAAUGUCGCAAGACCAAAGAGGGGGACCUUCGGGCCUCUUGCCAUCGGAUGUGCCCAGAUGGGAUUAGCUUGUUGGUGGGGUAACGGCUCACCAAGGCGACGAUCCCUAGCUGGUCUGAGAGGAUGACCAGCCACACUGGAACUGAGACACGGUCCAGACUCCUACGGGAGGCAGCAGUGGGGAAUAUUGCACAAUGGGCGCAAGCCUGAUGCAGCCAUGCCGCGUGUAUGAAGAAGGCCUUCGGGUUGUAAAGUACUUUCAGCGGGGAGGAAGGGAGUAAAGUUAAUACCUUUGCUCAUUGACGUUACCCGCAGAAGAAGCACCGGCUAACUCCGUG
rnacentral:rRNA from 1 species